rnacentral:rRNA from 1 species
AACGAACGCUAUCGGUAUGCUUAACACAUGCAAGUCGGACGGACUAAUUAGGGCUUGCUCCAAUUAGUUAGUGGCAGACGGGUGAGUAACACGUGGGCAUCUGCCCAUCAGUACGGAAUAACUUUUAGAAAUAAAAGCUAAUACCGUAUAUUCUCUACAGAGGAAAGAUUUAUCGCUGAUGGAUGAGCCCGCGUCAGAUUAGGUAGUUGGUGAGGUAACGGCUCACCAAGCCGACGAUCUGUAGCUGGUCUGAGAGGAUGAUCAGCCACACUGGGACUGAGACACGGCCCAGACUCCUACGGGAGGCAGCAGUGGGGAAUAUUGGACAAUGGGCGAAAGCCUGAUCCAGCAAUACCGAGUGAGUGAUAAAGGCCCUAGGGUUGUAAAGCUCUUUUAGCAAGGAAGAUAAUGACGUUACUUGCAGAAAAAGCCCCGGCUAGCUCCGUG